AUUGAACGCUGGCGGCAUGCUUUACACAUGCAAGUCGAACGGCAGCACGGGGGCAACCCUGGUGGCGAGUGGCGAACGGGUGAGUAAUAUAUCGGAACGUACCCGGAAAUGGGGGAUAACGUAGCGAAAGUUACGCUAAUACCGCAUAUGCCCUAAGGGGGAAAGCGGGGGACUCGCAAGAACCUCGCGUUUUCGGAGCGGCCGAUAUCGGAUUAGCUAGUAGGUGAGGUAAAGGCUCACCUAGGCGACGAUCCGUAGCUGGUCUGAGAGGACGACCAGCCACACUGGAACUGAGACACGGUCCAGACUCCUACGGGAGGCAGCAGUGGGGAAUUUUGGACAAUGGGCGCAAGCCUGAUCCAGCCAUGCCGCGUGAGUGAAGAAGGCCU
rnacentral:rRNA from 1 species